rnacentral:piRNA from 1 species
UGUGGCUCUUUUCAUGAGUUCCAAUAAAUCU